rnacentral:rRNA from 1 species
AAUAGAUACCCUGGUAGUCCACGCCGUAAACGAUGUCGACUUGGAGGUUGUUCCCUUGAGGAGUGGCUUCCGGAGCUAACGCGUUAAGUCGACCGCCUGGGGAGUACGGCCGCAAGGUUAAAACUCAAAUGAAUUGACGGGGGCCCGCACAAGCGGUGGAGCAUGUGGUUUAAUUCGAUGCAACGCGAAGAACCUUACCUACUCUUGACAUCCAGAGAACUUAGCAGAGAUGCUUUGGUGCCUUCGGGAACUCUGAGACAGGUGCUGCAUGGCUGUCGUCAGCUCGUGUUGUGAAAUGUUGGGUUAAGUCCCGCAACGAGCGCAACCCUUAUCCUUUGUUGCCAGCGGUCCGGCCGGGAACUCAAAGGAGACUGCCAGUGAUAAACUGGAGGAAGGUGGGGAUGACGUCAAGUCAUCAUGGCCCUUACGAGUAGGGCUACACACGUGCUACAAUGGCGUAUACAAAGNGAAGCGACCUCGCGAGAGCAAGCGGACCUCAUAAAGUACGUCGUAGUCCGGAUUGGAGUCUGC